UGUUUUCCAUCAAUUUUAAAUAGGUUUUGAGAUGUUUUCAAAGGUACCAAUGGCUUCAAUUAGGGUUUAGGGCUCAAACUAGGGUUCAGCUAGGGUUAGGGUUAGGGUUAGGGUUAGGAAAACGGUAAGUCUGAGGGUUGAGGCAAGUUCACGGUUGUGUUUAGCAGCUUGAAGAAAGGUUAGGACAUGGGUUUGUUAAUGAUUUUGAAUGAACCAAAAAUUUUCUGUAGCAUGUGUACCUAUGACCAUACAAAAUGGCUAAUAAAUGCAUGUUUUUUAGGGAGAACAUUUUUGUUUUUUAAAUGACCUCAUACAUAUUAUUUUGCAUUUGUAUGAUAGUAUUCAUGAUAUUUACCUUGUUUUCCAUCAAUUUUAAAUAGGUUUUGAGAUGUUUUCAAAGGUACCAAUGGCUUCAAUUAGGGUUUAGGGCUCAAACUAGGGUUCAGCUAGGGUUAGGGUUAGGGUUAGGGUUAGGAAAACGGUAAGUCUGAGGGUUGAGGCAAGUUCACGGUUGUGUUUAGCAGCUUGAAGAAAGGUUAGGACAUGGGUUUGUUAAUGAUUUUUCAAUGAACCAAAAAUUUUCUCUAGUAGCAUGUGUACCUAUGACCAUACAAAAUGGCUCAUAAAUGCAUGUUUUUUAGGAAGAACUUUUUUGUUUUUUAAAUGACCUCAUGCAUAUUAUUUUGCAUUUGUAUUAUAGUAUUCAUGAUAUUUACCUUGUUUUCCAUCAAUUUUAAAUGGGUUUUCGGAUGUUUUCAAAGGUACCAAUGGCUUCAAUUAGGAUUUAGUACUCAAACUAGGGUACAGCUACGGUUAGGGUUAGGAAACUUUGUAGGUCCCCUAAAAAAAUAUAGGCAAUGAAACACCUUUUCCCCAUUCUUAUUUCUGCAUUUACACACCACAGAUCAGGGGCCAGUUCUGUGUGUUGUGGUGGAUCUCCUCGGGCUCUCUUUUCCUCCAUCUGUGAAGAUGACGCUUAGCGGGCUUCGUGAAGAGCUCUAGAAAAAUUGGAGGCCUGGUUUGAUGGUGCGAGGGCAAUCUCAGCAGAGCGCAAUGUCUCAGUCCCUGAUCUCCGCGGAAAGGGAGAAGCUCCUCAGAUGGAACCGCUGGAGGACUGCAGGAGGUCUGGAGAGCGGCGCUGAGUCCAGCCCCCGGUGCCCGUCUCCCCCGGGCCCGCAGCUGCAGCUGGAACUCACCCCCCCACCCCCCCCGUGCCCCCCCCCCACCCCCGGCAGAGCGUCCGACGCCCGGGCGAGAGGCGUUAUCGAGGCUCGGGCCGUCCUGCUCGCCCAGAGAUUUUAUACGAGGUUAUGCUCGGGUGCGAAGUUCAAAAGACAUCUCUGAAAGAAAGCGCUCGGAAGUUCGUUCCGAGUGAUCGUUAAUGGUAUGUGUUGCGUCUAUGGUUCACAGGGGCGCUGCUUGCCUUGGGCAAAGUGCACACUUCCACCGCGCGGUACAGAACAUGCUAAUGGGGCCUCACCCACUGCGCUUUGCAGCAUCAGAUUAGCACGUCUGGCUUCACGCUCAAGGUCAAAUGUCUCUCUCUUUAAAUGUCUCAGGAUUGAUCAAAUACAGGGAGGCAUUUCAGAGUAAUUGUGUUUAGCUGCAUCUGCGGGUCAAAACCGAUGUGGAUGUCCAUUAAUGCAUCAAAUAUAUUCCCGUAAUUGUCUAAAUUGUAUAUUAAUUCCACACGCAGUUGUAUAAUAUUAAUAAGGGCCAAGGAUGUGAAGAGCAUCUGACACAAAUGUGGUCGAUCGAGCAUUUUCAAACGCUUUCCCAUCAAAACAUCCUCAUAAUCCAAUGAAGUAUUAAUUUUAGGGAACAUUUCAAAGCAUUUUCACUGUAUAAAUUACAAACUGUGCAUCAUCCAAUAUAUAUCCAAAGCUAUAGCUUUGCAAUAAUGACAGGUUAUAAUUUUUUCUCCCAGUCUGUGGGUUUAUGGCCAGAGCCAGCUUGUCUUGUUGAGGUGAUCUGCUGAUUGGCUAUGACUAUUUUGGGGGAGUCACAUCACUGGGCUGAAAUGUGACAAAUCCAUCCUACUCUUGAUAGCACAGAGGAUUGUAUAUAUGUAUUUUUUUUUUUUUUUUUUUUUUAUAGGGAAUUUGGAUGAGCUCAUCUUACAUAUAGUAUAUUCUGCCAAACUAGACUGGAGGAUGUAGGCCCAUUUCUAAAGUGCAUCUCUCUGCAGAAAGCAGAGAUCUUGACCCUUUAUCCAUUGAUUGCUGUAAUAAUUGCUUCCUCAUGGACUGAACCUCACAUAUUUUUAUGUUUCAGCCAAACAAAGCGGUACUCCCCACUUUUGACUGUCUAGACAUUGUCCUUGGGCGAAAUGUAGUCUUUUUAGUUCUCUGUACUCUUAGACUGAAGGAGCAUGUUUUCUCCCCUGACAGCUGUUUAAAUUUGGAAUUUUAUUUCCCGAGCAUAAUUCAAUCUUCUGUAUGGUACAAAUUAUUAAUGUGUCUUUAUGUAAUACAUUUGGAAGGAAUUACAUAAUUGCAUAUGUACAUAAUUGUCAAUCAAGCCAAUAAUGCAGCAUUACAUCAUCUGGUACAGUGCCUGAAAAUGAAGAUGUAUUUAUGUAAUCCUUAUACAGCAAUACUUCAUACAAGACAAUUAUUAAAGAAAACCAAUAAUACAGUUAAUAAAACUUGUAUUUUUGUAUUUGUGAAAGCUUUAUAUUAUUUAUUUAUUUGAAAGCUGUUAUUAUUUAUUGUUUGCUUUUCAGUUCAGUGAUGGAAAUGCAGAUUCAAAUUGAAACAAACAGUAAUUUUGAGUUUAAUAUUAUUAUUGUUAUUAUUGUUGUUGUUGUGGCGGUGGUGGUUGUUCAUGGAUAUAAUACAUGCUUUGUGCUGAAGUCUUGCUGUGUAAUCUAUGGGGAUAAUAGAUUACACAGCCAGCUCAUGAAUAAACACUCACUUGCAUUGACUGGCUCUUUACAGACAGCCUGCCACUCACGACUACUUCAUUUAAAAAAAAGAGAGUGUGAUGGAGAAAUAAAUGUAUAAAACGGGAUGAAGUGAGAAGAGAAACACGCUCAUCACCUCCUUCAUCCUGACCGGCCCAAACGCGGCCCUCCGGUGGCGUCUCCUGGCGGUGCCGAUGCUGUCGGGUCCGUCCCUGAGCCUCGGUCUGAGCAGUCACUCAGCGAGCGACGUGAUUGGCCGUAAGCAGGCCCCUUCCACCGACCGCUCUGACGGACAGCUGCAGCCAACCGCCUGCUCUGACAGGACGGGGCGCCGUGAUGGAUUGCCUGGCCCGACUGCCGCUCGCGGUGGGUCAAAGGUCAAACCCGCGUCCGCACUGGGCCUGAGCGGACGCCAGAGACAGUGCCCGCCGAGUCGGAGCAGAAGUUCCAGCGCAAAGACGGCCAUUCCGUGGGAGAAAGGCACCUCAAGCAUUUCUGACCUUUUGCAUGCUUUUCAUACAAAAGAAUUCAACAAAGAGCAUUUUCUUUAUGUGUGUUUACACCAGUAUGAUGUCAUUUGCAAGAAUAUAGUUAUAUGUAAUGCAAUAUGAUUUGCCUAAAUAUUUUUUAUUUAAUAACAGAACUGUCCUUUGUAUGAUUAGUAAGCUUUUCCUUGCUUUUAUGAUUAACAUAAGAAGUAUCUUUUAGGAAAAUCAAAAAUUAUUGUCUGCAAAUUUUAUUUGAGCUUGCCAUCUCUUCAAAAAUAAUUCUGAAAUGUAUUUUGCAUGUAUAUCACAGUUGUUUUGCUUAUUUAAAAUUCAUCUGCAUUUUAUUAUAGCUUCUAUGUCCUGAAACAACAUCACUUCACAUGCACCACUUACAUGUCAAGCUUAAUUUACAUUUAGAACUAAAAAAAAAAAAAACCCAACAGAAUUAAAGUAGAAUUUGUUUUGCCUGUAAUAUUAUCCCUUUACUAAAUACCCCAUUUGGAAAUUGUGACACAAACUGUUUUUUUCUUUUCUGUGGUGUAUCAUGUCGCAUGUGUCACUGUGUUUACUGUGCCCUGCCACAUGCAUGCAGACUCUCAGUAUUUACCGCUCUGUGUGCGUACAGUAGCUUAGCGAGCGGCUGGCUGCUUCCACGAGGCAGACAAGAGACGUGGGACUGACAGAUAGAAUGUGACAUGGUGGUGUGACGGAUUGCUUUGUGAUGUCAUAGAAGCUUUUCAGACAUCUAUUGACCAAUAUGGAACUGAUCGUGGCAGCAAUGACUGUCAACAUAGACAUUGAGAUUAUACAUGUUUCCCCAUUAAAAAAUCAGUUUUGUUUUGUCAAACAAAUUUUUGAUCAUUUUACUCUACUGGAAUGCUUUUAAUUUUCACCAUCUUAACAACUGUAUUUUCCAUAGAAACUGAAAUAUAUGGCUGUAUUUAUUGUCAGAUUUGUAUUGUUGCCAGGUUAUCAUACCCUGAAGCAUGGUAAUUAAUAGACAAUUCCCUUAAAAUAAAAGUAAAUGACACCUGUUUUUUUUUAUUGUCAUGUAAUUCAGAAUCUUAAAGAAUUUGUGUAAUAAAAAAAAGCAAUGACAUGUCAUC